AUGACCCCUAAUCACUGUACAUUUCACUUUCUCAUUAUUCAAAAAAAAAGAAAAAAAAUAUAUAUUUUUUUUUUUUUUUUUUUUUUUUUUUUUUUUUUUUUUUUUUUUUUUUUUUUUUUUUUUUUUUUUUUUUUUUUUUUUUUUUUUUUUUUUUUUUUUUUUUUUUUUUUUUUUUUUUUUUUUUUUUUUUUUUUUUUUUUUUUUUUUUUUUUUUUUUUUUUUUUUUUUUUUUUUUUUUUUUUUUUUUUUUUUUUUUUUUUUUUUUUUUUUUUUUUUUUUUUUUUUUUUUUUUUUUUUUUUUUUUUUUUUUUUUUUUUUUUUUUUUUUUUUUUUUUUUUUUUUUUUUUUUUUUUUUUUUUUUUUUUUUUUUUUUUUUUUUUUUUUUUUUUUUUUUUUUUUUUUUUUUUUUUUUUUUUUUUUUUUUUUUUUUUUUUUUUUUUUUUUUUUUUUUUUUUUUUUUUUUUUUUUUUUUUUUUUUUUUUUUUUUUUUUUUUUUUUUUUUUUUUUUUUUUUUUUUUUUUUUUUUUUUUUUUUUUUUUUUUUUUUUUUUUUUUUUUUUUUUUUUUUUUUUUUUUUUUUUUUUUUUUUUUUUUUUUUUUUUUUUUUUUUUUUUUUUUUUUUUUUUUUUUUUUUUUUUUUUUUUUUUUUUUUUUUUUUUUUUUUUUUUUUUUUUUUUUUUUUUUUUUUUUUUUUUUUUUUUUUUUUUUUUUUUUUUUUUUUUUUUUUUUUUUUUUUUUUUUUUUUUUUUUUUUUUUUUUUUUUUUUUUUUUUUUUUUUUUUUUUUUUUUUUUUUUUUUUUUUUUUUUUUUUUUUUUUUUUUUUUUUUUUUUUUUUUUUUUUUUUUUUUUUUUUUUUUUUUUUUUUUUUUUUUUUUUUUUUUUUUUUUUUUUUUUUUUUUUUUUUUUUUUUUUUUUUUUUUUUUUUUUUUUUUUUUUUUUUUUUUUUUUUUUUUUUUUUUUUUUUUUUUUUUUUUUUUUUUUUUUUUUUUUUUUUUUUUUUUUUUUUUUUUUUUUUUUUUUUUUUUUUUUUUUUUUUUUUUUUUUUUUUUUUUUUUUUUUUUUUUUUUUUUUUUUUUUUUUUUUUUUUUUUUUUUUUUUUUUUUUUUUUUUUUUUUUUUUUUUUUUUUUUUUUUUUUUUUUUUUUUUUUUUUUUUUUUUUUUUUUUUUUUUUUUUUUUUUUUUUUUUUUUUUUUUUUUUUUUUUUUUUUUUUUUUUUUUUUUUUUUUUUUUUUUUUUUUUUUUUUUUUUUUUUUUUUUUUUUUUUUUUUUUUUUUUUUUUUUUUUUUUUUUUUUUUUUUUUUUUUUUUUUUUUUUUUUUUUUUUUUUUUUUUUUUUUUUUUUUUUUUUUUUUUUUUUUUUUUUUUUUUUUUUUUUUUUUUUUUUUUUUUUUUUUUUUUUUUUUUUUUUUUUUUUUUUUUUUUUUUUUUUUUUUUUUUUUUUUUUUUUUUUUUUUUUUUUUUUUUUUUUUUUUUUUUUUUUUUUUUUUUUUUUUUUUUUUUUUUUUUUUUUUUUUUUUUUUUUUUUUUUUUUUUUUUUUUUUUUUUUUUUUUUUUUUUUUUUUUUUUUUUUUUUUUUUUUUUUUUUUUUUUUUUUUUUUUUUUUUUUUUUUUUUUUUUUUUUUUUUUUUUUUUUUUUUUUUUUUUUUUUUUUUUUUUUUUUUUUUUUUUUUUUUUUUUUUUUUUUUUUUUUUUUUUUUUUUUUUUUUUUUUUUUUUUUUUUUUUUUUUUUUUUUUUUUUUUUUUUUUUUUUUUUUUUUUUUUUUUUUUUUUUUUUUUUUUUUUUUUUUUUUUUUUUUUUUUUUUUUUUUUUUUUUUUUUUUUUUUUUUUUUUUUUUUUUUUUUUUUUUUUUUUUUUUUUUUUUUUUUUUUUUUUUUUUUUUUUUUUUUUUUUUUUUUUUUUUUUUUUUUUUUUUUUUUUUUUUUUUUUUUUUUUUUUUUUUUUUUUUUUUUUUUUUUUUUUUUUUUUUUUUUUUUUUUUUUUUUUUUUUUUUUUUUUUUUUUUUUUUUUUUUUUUUUUUUUUUUUUUUUUUUUUUUUUUUUUUUUUUUUUUUUUUUUUUUUUUUUUUUUUUUUUUUUUUUUUUUUUUUUUUUUUUUUUUUUUUUUUUUUUUUUUUUUUUUUUUUUUUUUUUUUUUUUUUUUUUUUUUUUUUUUUUUUUUUUUUUUUUUUUUUUUUUUUUUUUUUUUUUUUUUUUUUUUUUUUUUUUUUUUUUUUUUUUUUUUUUUUUUUUUUUUUUUUUUUUUUUUUUUUUUUUUUUUUUUUUUUUUUUUUUUUUUUUUUUUUUUUUUUUUUUUUUUUUUUUUUUUUUUUUUUUUUUUUUUUUUUUUUUUUUUUUUUUUUUUUUUUUUUUUUUUUUUUUUUUUUUUUUUUUUUUUUUUUUUUUUUUUUUUUUUUUUUUUUUUUUUUUUUUUUUUUUUUUUUUUUUUUUUUUUUUUUUUUUUUUUUUUUUUUUUUUUUUUUUUUUUUUUUUUUUUUUUUUUUUUUUUUUUUUUUUUUUUUUUUUUUUUUUUUUUUUUUUUUUUUUUUUUUUUUUUUUUUUUUUUUUUUUUUUUUUUUUUUUUUUUUUUUUUUUUUUUUUUUUUUUUUUUUUUUUUUUUUUUUUUUUUUUUUUUUUUUUUUUUUUUUUUUUUUUUUUUUUUUUUUUUUUUUUUUUUUUUUUUUUUUUUUUUUUUUUUUUUUUUUUUUUUUUUUUUUUUUUUUUUUUUUUUUUUUUUUUUUUUUUUUUUUUUUUUUUUUUUUUUUUUUUUUUUUUUUUUUUUUUUUUUUUUUUUUUUUUUUUUUUUUUUUUUUUUUUUUUUUUUUUUUUUUUUUUUUUUUUUUUUUUUUUUUUUUUUUUUUUUUUUUUUUUUUUUUUUUUUUUUUUUUUUUUUUUUUUUUUUUUUUUUUUUUUUUUUUUUUUUUUUUUUUUUUUUUUUUUUUUUUUUUUUUUUUUUUUUUUUUUUUUUUUUUUUUUUUUUUUUUUUUUUUUUUUUUUUUUUUUUUUUUUUUUUUUUUUUUUUUUUUUUUUUUUUUUUUUUUUUUUUUUUUUUUUUUUUUUUUUUUUUUUUUUUUUUUUUUUUUUUUUUUUUUUUUUUUUUUUUUUUUUUUUUUUUUUUUUUUUUUUUUUUUUUUUUUUUUUUUUUUUUUUUUUUUUUUUUUUUUUUUUUUUUUUUUUUUUUUUUUUUUUUUUUUUUUUUUUUUUUUUUUUUUUUUUUUUUUUUUUUUUUUUUUUUUUUUUUUUUUUUUUUUUUUUUUUUUUUUUUUUUUUUUUUUUUUUUUUUUUUUUUUUUUUUUUUUUUUUUUUUUUUUUUUUUUUUUUUUUUUUUUUUUUUUUUUUUUUUUUUUUUUUUUUUUUUUUUUUUUUUUUUUUUUUUUUUUUUUUUUUUUUUUUUUUUUUUUUUUUUUUUUUUUUUUUUUUUUUUUUUUUUUUUUUUUUUUUUUUUUUUUUUUUUUUUUUUUUUUUUUUUUUUUUUUUUUUUUUUUUUUUUUUUUUUUUUUUUUUUUUUUUUUUUUUUUUUUUUUUUUUUUUUUUUUUUUUUUUUUUUUUUUUUUUUUUUUUUUUUUUUUUUUUUUUUUUUUUUUUUUUUUUUUUUUUUUUUUUUUUUUUUUUUUUUUUUUUUUUUUUUUUUUUUUUUUUUUUUUUUUUUUUUUUUUUUUUUUUUUUUUUUUUUUUUUUUUUUUUUUUUUUUUUUUUUUUUUUUUUUUUUUUUUUUUUUUUUUUUUUUUUUUUUUUUUUUUUUUUUUUUUUUUUUUUUUUUUUUUUUUUUUUUUUUUUUUUUUUUUUUUUUUUUUUUUUUUUUUUUUUUUUUUUUUUUUUUUUUUUUUUUUUUUUUUUUUUUUUUUUUUUUUUUUUUUUUUUUUUUUUUUUUUUUUUUUUUUUUUUUUUUUUUUUUUUUUUUUUUUUUUUUUUUUUUUUUUUUUUUUUUUUUUUUUUUUUUUUUUUUUUUUUUUUUUUUUUUUUUUUUUUUUUUUUUUUUUUUUUUUUUUUUUUUUUUUUUUUUUUUUUUUUUUUUUUUUUUUUUUUUUUUUUUUUUUUUUUUUUUUUUUUUUUUUUUUUUUUUUUUUUUUUUUUUUUUUUUUUUUUUUUUUUUUUUUUUUUUUUUUUUUUUUUUUUUUUUUUUUUUUUUUUUUUUUUUUUUUUUUUUUUUUUUUUUUUUUUUUUUUUUUUUUUUUUUUUUUUUUUUUUUUUUUUUUUUUUUUUUUUUUUUUUUUUUUUUUUUUUUUUUUUUUUUUUUUUUUUUUUUUUUUUUUUUUUUUUUUUUUUUUUUUUUUUUUUUUUUUUUUUUUUUUUUUUUUUUUUUUUUUUUUUUUUUUUUUUUUUUUUUUUUUUUUUUUUUUUUUUUUUUUUUUUUUUUUUUUUUUUUUUUUUUUUUUUUUUUUUUUUUUUUUUUUUUUUUUUUUUUUUUUUUUUUUUUUUUUUUUUUUUUUUUUUUUUUUUUUUUUUUUUUUUUUUUUUUUUUUUUUUUUUUUUUUUUUUUUUUUUUUUUUUUUUUUUUUUUUUUUUUUUUUUUUUUUUUUUUUUUUUUUUUUUUUUUUUUUUUUUUUUUUUUUUUUUUUUUUUUUUUUUUUUUUUUUUUUUUUUUUUUUUUUUUUUUUUUUUUUUUUUUUUUUUUUUUUUUUUUUUUUUUUUUUUUUUUUUUUUUUUUUUUUUUUUUUUUUUUUUUUUUUUUUUUUUUUUUUUUUUUUUUUUUUUUUUUUUUUUUUUUUUUUUUUUUUUUUUUUUUUUUUUUUUUUUUUUUUUUUUUUUUUUUUUUUUUUUUUUUUUUUUUUUUUUUUUUUUUUUUUUUUUUUUUUUUUUUUUUUUUUUUUUUUUUUUUUUUUUUUUUUUUUUUUUUUUUUUUUUUUUUUUUUUUUUUUUUUUUUUUUUUUUUUUUUUUUUUUUUUUUUUUUUUUUUUUUUUUUUUUUUUUUUUUUUUUUUUUUUUUUUUUUUUUUUUUUUUUUUUUUUUUUUUUUUUUUUUUUUUUUUUUUUUUUUUUUUUUUUUUUUUUUUUUUUUUUUUUUUUUUUUUUUUUUUUUUUUUUUUUUUUUUUUUUUUUUUUUUUUUUUUUUUUUUUUUUUUUUUUUUUUUUUUUUUUUUUUUUUUUUUUUUUUUUUUUUUUUUUUUUUUUUUUUUUUUUUUUUUUUUUUUUUUUUUUUUUUUUUUUUUUUUUUUUUUUUUUUUUUUUUUUUUUUUUUUUUUUUUUUUUUUUUUUUUUUUUUUUUUUUUUUUUUUUUUUUUUUUUUUUUUUUUUUUUUUUUUUUUUUUUUUUUUUUUUUUUUUUUUUUUUUUUUUUUUUUUUUUUUUUUUUUUUUUUUUUUUUUUUUUUUUUUUUUUUUUUUUUUUUUUUUUUUUUUUUUUUUUUUUUUUUUUUUUUUUUUUUUUUUUUUUUUUUUUUUUUUUUUUUUUUUUUUUUUUUUUUUUUUUUUUUUUUUUUUUUUUUUUUUUUUUUUUUUUUUUUUUUUUUUUUUUUUUUUUUUUUUUUUUUUUUUUUUUUUUUUUUUUUUUUUUUUUUUUUUUUUUUUUUUUUUUUUUUUUUUUUUUUUUUUUUUUUUUUUUUUUUUUUUUUUUUUUUUUUUUUUUUUUUUUUUUUUUUUUUUUUUUUUUUUUUUUUUUUUUUUUUUUUUUUUUUUUUUUUUUUUUUUUUUUUUUUUUUUUUUUUUUUUUUUUUUUUUUUUUUUUUUUUUUUUUUUUUUUUUUUUUUUUUUUUUUUUUUUUUUUUUUUUUUUUUUUUUUUUUUUUUUUUUUUUUUUUUUUUUUUUUUUUUUUUUUUUUUUUUUUUUUUUUUUUUUUUUUUUUUUUUUUUUUUUUUUUUUUUUUUUUUUUUUUUUUUUUUUUUUUUUUUUUUUUUUUUUUUUUUUUUUUUUUUUUUUUUUUU
rnacentral:lncRNA from 12 species